rnacentral:piRNA from 1 species
UAGAUGCCAGAUAUAUCUUAA